rnacentral:misc_RNA from 1 species
UUUCCGUAGGUGAACCUGCGGAAGGAUCAUUAAAGUUAUAGUCCCCUGGCCCUCUGGGCUGGGGUCUUCUAUACCACCCUUUGUUUAUUACACCUUUGUUGCUUUGGCAGGCCUGCCCUCGGGCUGCUGGCUCCGGCCGGCGAGCGCCUGCCAGAGGACCUAAACUCCGUUUGUCUAUAAUGUCUGAGUACUAUAUAAUAGUUAAAACUUUCAACAACGGAUCUCUUGGUUCUG